CACCGCGGUUAUACGAGAGGCCCAAGUUGAUAGAUGCCGGCGUAAAGAGUGGUCAGUACAAUAUUACACUAAAGCCAAACACCUUCAAAGCUGUCAUACGCAAUCGAAGGCAGGAAGCUCUUCCACGAAAGUGGCUUUAAACUAUACAAACCACGAAAGCUAGGAAA
rnacentral:rRNA from 1 species